UACGAAGGCCCCAAGCGUUAUCCGGAAUCACUGGGCGUAAAGAGUUCAUAGGCGGCGUAAUAAGUCUUUCGUAAAAGACCGGGGCUCAACCUCGGCAGCGCGGGAGAAACUAUUAUGCUUGAGGACGGAAGAGGCAAGCGGAAUUACCGGUGUAGUAGUAAAAUGCGUUAAUAUCGGUAGGAACGCCCAUUGCGAAAGCAGCUUGCUGGAACGAUCCUGACGCUAUAAGAACGAAAGCGUGGGUAGCGAUACGG
rnacentral:rRNA from 1 species